rnacentral:rRNA from 1 species
GACGAACGCUGGCGGCGUGCUUAACACAUGCAAGUCGAACGGUGACCCAUCUUCGGAUGGUGAUCAGUGGCGAACGGGUGAGUAACACGUGGGCAACCUGCCCCUAGCUCUGGGAUAACUCCUCGAAAGAGGUGCUAAUACCGGAUAUCACCUCCCUGGACAUCCAGGGUGGUUGAAAGUUUUUCGGCUAGGGAUGGGCCCGCGGCCUAUCAGCUUGUUGGUGGGGUAAUGGCCUACCAAGGCGACGACGGGUAGCCGGCCUGAGAGGGCGACCGGCCACACUGCGACUGAGAAACGGCCCAGACUCCUACGGGAGGCAGCAGUGGGGAAUAUUGCGCAAUGGGCGAAAGCCUGACGCAGCAACGCCGCGUGAGGGAUGACGGCCUUCGGGUUGUAAACCUCUUUCAGCAGGGACGAAGCGAAAGUGACUGUACCUGCAGAAGAAGCGCCGGCUAACUACGUGCCAGCCGCCGCGGUAACAC